UUUGCAGGCAGUGUGCUGUGAGGACUGCUGCCCUGAUUCAUACGGAAGAAGUUCCAAGUUCACUCACUUAUUAGCGAGGUUAACAAGUGGGCUCCAUCAACUGUCCAGGGUGAAGUUGGUCUGUACUGAUUGCACUACCUGCUACUUGAUGAUGUCUGGUAGCCGUGGCUACUGCCCUCAGCCUGGUACACUUGACACUUGACAUUUACUGCCAAAAGGUACCAUCAGAGCACCUCUCCCUACCCUGCAGGACAUCUAUACCAGAAGAGUACAAGGGCCCAAAAUAUUUCAAAAGACAUUUCACACCCUGACCAUGGACUGUUUAAACCACUGAGGUCAAGCAGACGUCUCUGUUCCCACAUGGCUAGAAUAGACUGAGAAGGAGUUUCUUUCCUGAAGCCAUCUGCAUCCCGAUCACACAUAACUCUUUAAACUACAUUAUAUAGACUUGCCAUACUGCACUUACACACACUGCUCUGUUUACCACCUGAAAAGAUUGUUGCUGCACUGUCUCAGGUUUUGUUCUUGUUUUGUUUUUGUUUUGAUUUGGGGUUAAGUGUGAAAACCAGUGACAUUAAGGGUAUGAACUUCUUUUUGUACACAUUUACAUACUAUGGGUUAUUAAUGUUGUGCCAAUAUUUUAGCUGUCCAUAAUGUUGACACAAAAAAGUUUACAAGGCCCAUAGUAUCACCAGUUUUGCACCUUGUUCCUUAUCUAGGGCCUCAUAUAAAUUGAAUGGGUAUGCACUACAAACAAUGGUCCAGUCAUACUGAGAACAUGUCUGCCUUCCAUCUUCCACCAAGUUUGGACAAGCUAGGAACAAUAUUUUUUAAAUAUAUCAAUGCCUAAAGAUGGCCUCCAAGAUAAGGAAUUUCUGAGAGUGAAAAUGAUACAAAAUCAAGGGUGAAAAGGUGUAUGGAAUUAUAAAAUUGAGCAAAAAUAUUUUACAGGUCUUGGUUUUGGGACUUAAAGGUAGUCAAGAGCAAAAUCUGAGAGGGUGCAGCAACUGUUUUCCUGGAUUUUAUCUGACUUGAAACAGAAUGACCCCCUUCCCUAUCGUUAAAUUACAUGUAUUUCUAAAUCCUUCUUUCUUUAUCCUGUACACCUCUGCAGAGGCAAGUUGAGAAGCUGAAUGCCAGUUCUCUAUGUAUUUUACAAUGAUAUCUUUGUAUCUGACAAUUCCUUGAAUCCUUGACAGAAGGCUCAAUUUUGUAUUGCCAUAUUUUGUGAUGUCUACAGAAAUAAAAAUACUUGUUACCGA